rnacentral:rRNA from 1 species
UGGGGAAUUUUGGACAAUGGGGGAAACCCUGAUCCAGCCAUCCCGCGUGUGCGAUGAAGGCCUUCGGGUUGUAAAGCACUUUUGGCAGGAAAGAAACGUCAUGGGUUAAUACCCCGUGAAACUGACGGUACCUGCAGAAUAAGCACCGGCUAACUACGUGCCAGCAGCCGCGGUAAUACGUAGGGUGCAAGCGUUAAUCGGAAUUACUGGGCGUAAAGCGUGCGCAGGCGGUUCGGAAAGAAAGAUGUGAAAUCCCAGAGCUCAACUUUGGAACUGCAUUUUUAACUACCGGGCUAGAGUGUGUCAGAGGGAGGUGGAAGUCCGCGUGUAGCAGUGAAAUGCGUGGAUAUGCGGAGGAACACCGAUGGCGAAAGCAGCCUCCUGGGAUAACACUGACGCUCAUGCACGAAAGCGUGGGGAGCAAACAGG